UCCCAUACCCCCCUCCCCCUCCCAAUUCCCUCUGUCCAUCUCACAUCGCCCAGCCCUGUGUCUCCCCCUGCCCUUCCUUUCCUUCCUCCCUCAUGCCAAUCUCUCCCCUCCUCCUCCUCCUCCUCCUCCUCCCCCUCCUCUUCUCUUCUUCUCUCUCUCUUCUCCUGGUCGAUGCCGCCCGCACCGCCGAUGGAUCCGAGGAGUGGGGUUACGUCCAAGUCCGACCGAGAGCGCACAUGUUCUGGUGGCUUUACCGGAGCCCGCAACGAGUCGACAACGGUUCCGCUCCAUGGCCGACCGUGCUGUGGUUGCAGGGAGGACCUGGCGGCUCGGGCGUCGGGAUCGGUAACUUCCAGGAGAUUGGGCCCGUGGAUGCCAAUCUACAGCCUCGGAGUACGACAUGGCUGCAGAAGGCCGACCUUCUCUUUGUGGACAAUCCGGUGGGCACGGGAUACAGUUUUGUGGAGGACGAGAGCCUCUUCGUGAAGAGUGAUUGGGAGGCAGCCGCGGAUCUGACCACCCUUCUGAAGAAUCUCUACCAUGAGCAGGCGUCGUCAUGGCAGAACAGCCCACUGUUCAUCGUGGCAGAGUCUUACGGAGGAAAGUUCGCCGUGACCGCAGGCUUGUCGAUCGCCCAAGCCAUCAGGGCUGGAGAAUUGAAGCUCAACCUCGGAGGUGUUGCAUUGGGAGAUAGCUGGAUCUCACCUGAAGAUUUCGUGCUAUCGUGGGCGCCUCUGCUUCUCGAUCUCUCAAGAAUUGACAUCAUAGAUGCAGAGAAAUCAAGCAUCAUGGCCGAGAAGAUCAGAGAAGAGAUAAAGAAGGAGCAGUACGGUGAUGCCACGAACUCAUGGGGCGAGCUGGAGGAGUUCAUUGUCACAAGCAGUAACGAUGUCGAUUUCUACAACUUCUUGUUGGAUUCUGGGAGCGAUCCAGUUUCACUGACAGCAGCAGCUGAAGCAUCGCAGAAGCUAUCAUUGAAGAUGUACCCGACCUACCUGAGCUCAAAGGCUUCCACCUCUCCUGACAUUUCAGGUCUCAUGAAUGGUUUGAUCAAGGAAAAGCUGAAGAUCAUUCCAAAGAAUGUUAGGUAUGUCAUUUCAUUUUACGAUCGAUUCCGAGGAAAACAGACAAUCAAUUCUCUUGGACUAAGUUUGCUGAACAGCUGGGGAGGGCAAUCUGGCCUCGUCUUUGAUUCACUCUCGAAUGAUUUCAUGAAGCCAAGAAUCAAUGAGGUUGAUGAGCUCCUUUCCCUGGGAAUCAAUGUCACCAUCUAUAAUGGACAGAAGAGACACUCUACACACACAUGAAUUUGUCGGUUGCGCAAAUAAGAUACAAUCUGUUUUGGAGUAAGCUAAAAGAUGUAGUGAAUGUGGCUGGCUGGCUGGCUGGCUGGCUGGCUGGUACUCUUUUUCUUCUUAACAUAAGGUAUCGGUAUUUUCUUGUCCUGUACCGUAGCCAUGAAUGCAGGGCCGUAGUUCAACAUCAUCAGAUGCAUAGAGAACAAGCAACCUUAGGUCAAGCGCAAGAGAAAUUGUAAUAGCCGAAGAAAGAUGGAGAGAGACAAGGCGGGCGGAAGACAACCUCUUCUGGUUUUUUGUGCUUGCCAAAGACACUAGUGCUCGACAUAGACGUGGAACUUGUAAUAGGAAUCCUCACCACGAAGGAAGGAAGGAAGGAAGGAAGGAAGGGGUACACCCUCUUCCCUUUGGUUAUAAAAAAGGUAAGGAUGAGUACAUCAACCAACCCUAUCCAGAUUCUACGUCGACGGACUCCUCCCACGGAAGGAAGGAAGGUUGAUCUGAUUUGUGCAACCAAGGGCACUGAAGCAUGGGUUCAGAAGCUCAAAUGGGAUGGGCUGAAGAACUUUAACAGCAUGGAUAGAAAGCCUAUAUACUGCAGCAGCGAGGAAGUGGGAGUCACCAAAGGCU